rnacentral:rRNA from 1 species
GAUCAUGGCUCAGAUUGAACGCUGGCGGCAGGCUUAACACAUGCAAGUCGAACGGUAGCAGGAGAAAGCUUGCUUUCUUGCUGACGAGUGGCGGACGGGUGAGUAAUGCUUGGGAAUCUGGCUUAUGGAGGGGGAUAACUACGGGAAACUGUAGCUAAUACCGCGUAGAAUCGGAAGAUGAAAGUGCGGGACCGCGAGGCCGCAUGCCAUGAGAUGAGCCCAAGUGGGA